rnacentral:tRNA from 1 species
GGAGUGAUGACCGAGUGGCUGAUGGUGCACGCCUGGAAAGCGUGUGUACUCUAAAAGGUACCGUGGGUUCGAAUCCCUCUUACUCCG